rnacentral:rRNA from 1 species
UACGAAGGGGGCUAGCGUUGCUCGGAAUCACUGGGCGUAAAGGGUGCGUAGGCGGCAUGAUAAGUUAUUGGCGGUAAAUCGAGGCUCAACCUCGUGGAAACUGAUAAUACUGUUUUGCUUGAGUACAGGAGAGGUUAACGGAACUCCAUGUGGAGCGGUAAAAUGUGUAGAUAUAUGGAAGAACAUCAAUAACGGCGAAGGCAGUUAACUAUCCUGUACUGACGUUGAGGCACGAAAGCGUGGGGAGCAAAAAGG